rnacentral:rRNA from 1 species
AUACGGAGGAUCCGAGCGUUAUCCGGAUUUAUUGGGUUUAAAGGGAGCGUAGGCGGACUAUUAAGUCAGCUGUGAAAGUUUGCGGCUCAACCGUAAAAUUGCAGUUGAUACUGGUCGUCUUGAGUGCAGUAGAGGUAUGCGGAAUUCGUGGUGUAGCGGUGAAAUGCUUAGAUAUCGCGAAGAACUCCGAUUGCGAAGGCAGCUUACUGGACUGUAACUGACGCUGAUGCUCGAAAGUGUGGGUAUCAAACAGGAUUAGAUGCCCUGGUAGUCCACACAGUAAACGAUGAAUACUCGCUGUUUGCGAUAUACGGCAAGCGGCCAAGCGAAAGCAUUAAGUAUUCCACCUGGGGAGUACGCCGGCAACGGUGAAACUCAAAUGAAUUGACGGGG